rnacentral:rRNA from 1 species
AACACAUGCAAGUCGAACGGGAUCACAGGUUAGCAAUAACUCUGUGGUGUAGUGGCGCACGGGUGAGUAACACGUGGGUAACCUGCCCUUGAGACUGGGAUACCCCCUCGAAAGGGGGGCUAAUACCGGAUACGUUCCUUGGAUCGAAAGGUCUGGGGAGGAAAGGUGGCGAAAGCUGCCGCUCUUGGAGGGGCUCGCGGCCUAUCAGCUAGUUGGCGGGGUAACGGCCCACCAAGGCUAUGACGGGUAGCUGGUCUGAGAGGACGACCAGCCACACGGGGACUGAGACACGGCCCCGACUCCUACGGGAGGCAGCAGUGGGGAAUUUUCCGCAAUGGGCGAAAGCCUGACGGAGUGACGCCGCGUGUGGGACGAAGGCCUCGGGUCGUAAACCACUGUCAGUGGGAAAGAUGGGUGUCGGCGCGAUAACCGCCGGCAUUGACGUACCUGCAGAGGAA